GCGGAGGAAAAGAAACCAACAGGGAUUGCCUCAGUAACGGCGAGUGAAGCGGCAUCAGCUCAAAUUUGAAAUCUGGCCCUCUUGGGGCCCGAGUUGUAAUUUGCAGAGGGUGCUUUGGCAGGUGCAGCGGUCCAAGUUCCUUGGAACAGGACGUCACAGAGGGUGAGAAUCCCGUACGUGGCCGCUAGCACUGGCCGUGUAAAGCCCCUUCGACGAGUCGAGUUGUUUGGGAAUGCAGCUCUAAAUGGGAGGUAAAUUUCUUCUAAAGCUAAAUACUGGCCCGAGACCGAUAGCGCACAAGUAGAGUGAUCGAAAGAUGAAAAGCACUUUGGAAAGAGAGUCAAACAGCACGUGAAAUUGUUGAAAGGGAAGCGCUUGCAGCCAGACUUGCCUGCAGUUGCUCAUCCGGGCUUUUGCCCGGUGCACUCUUCUGCAGGCAGGCCAGCAUCAGUCUGGGCGGCUGGAUAAAGGCCUCUAUCACGUACCUGCCUUCGGGGAGGCCUUAUAGGGGAGGCGACAUGCAGCCAGCCUGGACUGAGGUCUGCGCAUCUGCUAGGAUGCUGGCGUAAUGGCUGUAAGCGGCCCGUCUUGAAACACGGACCAAGGAGUCUAACAUCUAUGCGAGUGUUUGGGUGGCAAGCCCAAGCGCGGAAUGAAAGUGAACGGAGGUGGGAUCCCGCACGGGUGCACCAUCGACCGAUCCUGAUGUCUUCGGAUGGAUUUGAGUAAGAGCAUGGCUGUUGGGACCCGAAAGAUGGUGAACUAUGCUUGAAUAGGGUGAAGCCAGAGGAAACUCUGGUGGAGGCUCGCAGCGGUUCUGACGUGCAAAUCGAUCGUCAAAUUUGGGCAUAGGGGCGAAAGACUAAUCGAACUAUCUAGUAGCUGG
rnacentral:rRNA from 1 species